GGAAAUAUUCUUGUCCUCGAAAUUUCGAAGUUGAUGAAACUGAAAGAGAUAAGCUACUAGAACUCUCUUUCUCGCUCCACAGCACACGCUUAUCUCUGCUACAGAACUCAGCCCUUGCCAUUUCCCUGUCUUUUCCCACCCCAACUAGACAUGUGUUCUCAACCUCGCACGAGUAUCAGGAAUUCGACACGUUGUAACAAUACCCCACUUUGCUUUGCUUUUAGUUUAAGCACAAACCACAGUAGAGCCUCGCCAAGGAAGCAAGGAUUCUUCUUCUUCUAAUGUCAGUCUUUUGUUUUUAACUGAUUUUUCAGUGCAUUAUCUCAUUUUGAGGCCUUUUAAGGACGGCUAUUCAGCACUCAACCGCUUGCCGUUUAAUCAAUAAUUCCCUUGUGUUACGCUUUUCAAAACUUCUUCCUUAUUCAAAUUCCAACGUCUAAAAAGAAUGUGAAAGUGCAGUUUCUCUGCGAGACUAUGGUCAUUUCGUGCAGGAACUUGAGCAAAUUCUAGCCUUUGGGUAUCUUCGAGAAGGAGCAGUUGGGGCAGUGUUUGAGAUGGGUUUGUGGUAAAUUUGUGGAGAUCUGGUUGGCUUUGGAGUCUACAGAGGGGAUAUGGAGCCUCCAAAAGGGUUUUCUGCUACUCUGUGGAAUCUUAUUCGCUUUCUCCCUUUCUUCAUUGGCCUUCUGCUUCUGGGUACUAUUAAAGGUAUCAUUUUCUGCCCAUUGGCAUGCCUUAUCAUGGCAGUUGGAAACUCUACUAUUGUAUUAGGUCUUUGGCCAUUCCAUACUUUUUGGACAUAUUAUUCAAUUAUAAGAGCUAAACAAUUAGGGCCACUUCUGAAGAUUGUUCUCUGCCUAUUCCUACCAGUUCCCUUGAUUUUGUGGCUGGUGUUCAGCAUUGUUGGAAGUAUUGCAGCUGGAGCACUGUAUGGCUUUCUUUCACCAGUAUUUGCCACUUUUGAUGCAGUUGGAGAAGGGAAGACUAAGGAGCUUUACCACUGUUUUGUUGUGUGUAUUAGUACCAUGUAUUAAUGAUUUUAUUAUCUAUUUGUUCCCAUUUCACUCCUCACACAUAACACUUUUUAUGUUUCUAUAUUUACAGGAUGGAACUUGGGACACUGUUAAAAAGAGUUGCACUAUCGUCCGUGACUUUGGAGAUGUUUGUUAUCAUUCUUAUUUAUCAUAUAUGGAUGACCUGCAACAACAACAACCUCCCGAUAGGAAAUAUUAUGAGAUCAGAUUGCUUUAUCUUCCUGGUGCUAUUAUUGCUGGUUUACUUGGUUUCAUGCUCGACUUUCCGCUUAUUUCACUUAUUGCCCUCUGCAAAAGUCCGUACAUGCUCUUUAAGGGAUGGCAUCGUCUGUUUCAUGAUCUUAUAGGAAGGGAAGGCCCUUUCUUGGAGACAAUAUGUGUGCCAUUUGCAGGUCUUGCUAUUCUUCUUUGGCCAUUGGCUGUUGUUGGGGCAGUUUUGGGCUCCAUGGUAUCCGGUAUCUUCAUUGGUGCUUAUGCAGGAGUGGUAGUUUAUCAGGUCAAAAAUCUUAUUUUCAUAGUGGUUUUAGUUUGUUUGCUGCAUUUCUUUUAUCUUUUUAGUUUCUAGGUGUGACUGGGCUUUGGGCUCUGGAUUGCAGGAAUCCUCAUUUUGGUUUGGGCUUUGCUAUAUUGUUGCAUCCUGGGCUAUUUAUGAUGAAUACAGCAAUGACAUUUUGGACAUGCAAGAAGGAUCUUGCUUUCCGAGGCCAAGGUACCAAAAAGCUGAACUGACAAAGAGUGCAUCUCGUGCAUCCUCUUUUUCAAAGCGUAAUUCUUUUCGAAAUCGUCUCAACCGUGCAGAUUCACUAACACCUAUGCUCGAUCUGAAACCAUUUGCGGUAUUUUCUAUUUGGCCUAUUUAGUGAACAAGAUUCUGCAUUUCAUUUUCUUCCAUGUGAUGAUGAUUGGUUUAGCCAUGCAGUUUUGAUGCACUCAAAAUGCAUCUACAUUUAGCUAAUAGUUUGCGUACUCAAUAAAAAUGUGUUUGCCUUUUGUUUAGCUGCUUGAUGGCUUAUUUAAGCAGUGUAAACACCAUGGGGAGAAUUUUCUUUCUGAAGGAUUAAUAACACCAAAAGACCUUGAAGAUGCCAUGCUUAAAAAGAGUGCCACAGUGGUUAGCAUUGGCUUACCGGCUUAUUGCCUUCUUCAGGCACUACUGCGCUCUGUGAAAGCCAAUUCUGAGGGUAUUUUGUUGAGCGACAAUAUGACUGAGUUGACAAGCUCAAACAAACCAAAAGAGGCCUUCUUUGAUUGGUUUUUUAACCCCUUUAUAAUAAUGAAAGACCAGAUUAAAGUACUCCACCUUUCCGAUGAAGAAGAGGAUUAUCUCUGCAAACUAGUAUUGUUGAACGGCGACCCCAUGAAGUUGAAAAGUGUAAAUAUUGGUCCAGCACCAGAUUCUGAACGUAAACGAGCUGAACUUGAUGCACUAGCUCGAAGGCUUCAAGGGAUUACUAAAUCUGUAUCAAGAUAUCCUACAUCAAGACGUCAUUUCCAAAAUCUUGUCAAGACAUUAUCAGAAGAUCUGGCGAAGAAGAAUCGUGACAACAAGUCAAGCAAUGCAACCCGAGCAUUUUCAAGAUCAAGAAGUGCCUUUGCUGUCUUCCAAAGAUCUUUUAAAAAUAGAUCAAGCUACAAUAGUUCUGAUCAAACGUCACAAGCAGUUGAAAGGGAUGUGGAAAUUGUAUGACAAUAGGUGUUAGUAGAGGAACAGAAACCAUCUCAUUUUUAAUUUGUUUUUGCUAAGUGUAAUUUAUUAUUUUAAUCAUCUUGGUUCAUAGCUGCAAUUUUUUUUAUCUUCCUGUUGCUGACACCUUAGGAGAAUAAUGAAAGUCAAUUGUAUGAAAACAAGAUUAUGCAAUUAUGGUUUAGAAUUGCUU
rnacentral:misc_RNA from 1 species